rnacentral:snRNA from 1 species
GGAUGUGAGGGUGACCUGACAGUGACACCUGUCACCCCACUGAUUGCCACAGUUGAUCUGACUGACCUGGCUGACUGGGGGUUCCCUUCUACCCUACCACUCCAUGUGCAUCCCUACUGAGGCUGUGAGCUCAGUGCAAGAGGGCACCUUCCCUGACAGAGAAGGACCAGUCUUCAGUCAGGGGCAUGAGUAACCAUACUCCCUGGCUGGAGCCUCCACCCGAAGCCCUUAAGAAACAGAACCAGGGGCCGGGUAUAGUGGUACAUGCCUUUAAUCCCAGCACUGGGGAGGCAGAGGCAGUUGGAUCUCUGUGAGU